UACUGAAUAGCUCAGUCAAUAGAGCACGAGACUCUUCAUCUUGGGGUUGUGGGUUUGAGCCCUAUGUUGGGCAA